CCUUGUCAUGACCAAAAAUGCCUGUUCAAUGAAAUGUUCAUUGAAAACCCGGUCUCCCUGUUUCACCUAAAACGCAACCACCUCCAAAUCCCUAACUUCCUCCCCCCGGCCAACCACAACUCUAUUUUCCGUUUCUAAACCUUUUUCCUUUUUCUCAAUUUUCCCCUUUCACCAUUUCUUCGUAUUUGUGACUGACUUUGAAAGCGUAAAAGUCUAUGCGCUGCUGCGCGCUUGCUGGUUGACACAUGAAUGCAGUGAAAUUUCCUUUUCCUUGUUUCGUCGACUUUUGACUGAAACUUAUUCUGUUUUCUGUUGCUGAAGUGUUGGGUAUUACCAAUAUUAACGAACAUUUAGUGCAAGGCUCUAAAUUAACAUUGUUUAUUUUAUUUCUGUUGCAUUCACCGUUGGUGGAGAUGUGUGCUGUGGGCUCUGGCUGCGCCCUUUAUUCUUUCUGGUUGAAGCUUUUUGUUUGAAGGAAACUUGAAAUUACCAACAGAACCUUUCUGCUUUUUCCUUGCUCAAUACACUGAUUACGAACUGAUAAGAAAUUGCCGAACUUUCGUCUCUUUUCUUUGCAUACACGCACCCACGCACAUACAUUCACACGCACACACAAAAGUAAGCUGGCGUGAUUGAAGGCCUUUUUUUCGGCCCGGUUUUAGUCACGUUACAACGUUAGCUAGCCUAUCAGUCCGGGAUCCAGUAAUUUUGUGUCGCGCCUGGUCUUUUUUGCAAGAAAGUGGGCUCCAUCAACCAUCCGGGGCAAAGUCAGUCUGUCCUGAUUGCACUACCUGCUAAUUGAUGACGUCUAGAAGCCAUGGCUGGUGCUCUCAACGUGGCACACCAUCAGAUUCACCCUACCCUGCAGGACAUCUAUACCAGAAGAGGAUGGACAGAGGCCCAAAAUAUUUUAAAGGACAUUUCACACCCUGACCAUGGACUGUUUAAACCAUUGAGGUAAAGCAGACGUCUGACGUCUGUUCCCAAAUGUCUAAAACAGAAAGACCGAGAAGGAGUUUCUUUCCUCAAGCCAUUCACAUCCUGAGCACACAUAACUCUUUAAACUACAUUACUGUACAUGGACUUGCCAUACUGCACUUACACACACUGAACUCUUUACCCCCUGGGUCAUUCCGUGUCAAAUCAGAUAAGGUUGUUGCUGCACCGUCUCAGGCCUGUAAAAUAUGUUUUUGUUCAAAUGCUAUGUCUUUAUUGUUAAGUUUGUAAAGCAUGCUCAUUGCUUUUCUACAAGUAUUAAUUAAAAA